UCUUAUCGGAAUACUCUCCUGGACGGCACUGGAUCACAUUAUUGCAGAUAAAGGGUUUGAGAUCUCCAUAACAAGUUUUAAGUUCGAGUCAGGAUUUUCAUUUUUUAUAAGAGUUUGGAAUAGCCGGGAUUUUACUCCUUCACUUGGGCCCACAAAAUACGCUUUCUGGAGGUUGGGAUUUCCUUGAAUCCAAAAAAAAAAAAAAAAGAAUACUCUCGUGGAUGGCACUGGAUCACAUUAUUGCAGCACUUGUUACAUUGAAGGAGCCACUGAUUUCAUAUGUGGAAACGCUGCUUCACUCUUUGAAGUGAGCGCAACAUUUUAUGUACUUCUGCUUUCUUGUGAAAAAAUCAGACCAGGGCCAGGUGUGUGUUAGUGAAGGAGACGGUUCUAGUGAAUGUCACCAACAAUGCGAAAAUACAACGUUUAUUUUCAUUGGCAUGGAGCAAAGCAAUUUCGUAAUGGCUGGGCAGAUGGACCUGCUGAUACAACUAUGAUUUUAAUGCAACAGGGCAAAGAGGAACAUUAUGGUGGCGUGCACAUAUCUUUGGCUAGGGGCUACUGUAUAUGGUGCCAUUGUUAUCAUGCCUAAACCAGGGACCCCAAAUCCUUUCCCCCAGACUCAGGGUUAUGGUUCAUGCACUGUCAUUUGGAGCUACACACAGGAUGGGGAUUGAAACAACAUUUGUCAUCGAGAAUGGACAAGGCCCAGAUCAAUUUAUCUAGCCUCCACCUAAAGACCUCCCUCCCUGCUAGCAUUUAGAACCAACCAUCUCAAUUUGGAAUGUUUGAAAAGGAUGGCUAAACAGUCUUUCAAGUUAACAAUUUCGUGUUACAAUUUCUUUAUAGCUGAAUCCAAGGCCCCAGCCAUGCACCUGAAAGAA